rnacentral:rRNA from 1 species
AACGAACGCUGGCGGCAUGCCUAACACAUGCCAGUCGAACGAUGCCUUCGGGCAUAGUGGCGCACGGGUGAGUAACGCGUGGGAACCUGCCCUGUGGUACGGAAUAACUCCGGGAAACUGGAGCUAAUACCGUAUGUGUCCCCUGGGACAAAGAUUUAUCGCCACGGGAUGGGCCCGCGUAGGAUUAGCUUGUUAGUGGGGUAACGGCCUACCAAGGCUACGAUCCUUAGCUGGUCUGAGAGGAUGAUCAGCCACACUGGGACUGAGACACGGCCCAGACUCCUACGGGAGGCAGCAGUGGGGAAUAUUGGACAAUGGGCGCAAGCCUGAUCCAGCAAUGCCGCGUGAGUGAUGAAGGCCUUCGGGUUGUAAAGCUCUUUCGCACGCGACGAUGAUGACGGUAGCGUGAGAAGAAGCCCCGGCUAACUUCGUG